ACCGCCACGGUGACUUACAAGCAACUCACUGUACUUAGGCACUGGACUACCUGAAUUUUUAAUUCAGUGACGGAAGGUUGCUGGGUGUAGUCAAGUACUUGACUUGUCGGUGCGUGUGUCAAGAUGGGAUUGACCACUUCAGUUUAGGAGCUAUAUACAAUUGUGUUUCAAUUUAGCAAAAUCUUGACCAGGGUAGUCCUUGUGAGGAGUCACAGGACUGUUUGAGUUGAGCACGAUUCGGAUGAUCUGAUCAGGGUUGACAGUUUAACCCUGAGUCAUCCUAAACACAGGGGUCAAAAGGAUGAAUUAUACAGUAACCAUAUUCAUGUAGAUU
rnacentral:lncRNA from 1 species